GGAUCCUUUGUUGAGGAGCAGGAGGCCAUCAGAGAGAGGCAGCGUCAGAUUACAAACUAGAAGUAUGACUGGUACCACCAGGCAAAGGAACACAACAAAGGUGUGUCUGUCUGGUGCCAGCGGACCUGCAGGAUUAUCAUCCAUGAGUAAUGGAGAGCUCUGAACGACACACUCAAAUGCCUCACGCGUUUUCCUAACACUUCUGGGCUCUCCAGAUCCUAGUACUUGGGAAAGUAUGUCUGGAUUCCUCGCCAUGACAGAGAAAAAGGAACAGGGAAAGCCAAGAGGACCCUGUGUGGUGAACCCAGGUUGUCCAGAUACUGCGGAGGAAGUCAGAAGAGGACUGUCGGAAGCUGAGUAUUCAAACAAACCUGAGAAAGGUAAACACUUUGGCUGCCCUCAUCCCUGCUUCCCUUCCCCCAAUUCCUUCAGCCCUGCCCCCAUUCCUUUGGCCCAGUCCCCAUCACUCAGCCCACCUUGCUCCCCAAUCUAGGAUGGCUAAAGAAGGGGCGGAGCUAUGGCUGUGUGAGGUCAAGAUCAGAGUCUGACUAUGACCAAUUAAGACUGAACUUUCUGUCACAAGAAGGUUAUUGAGCUUUCUACUUAAAAUGUGAGCUGAUAGGUUAUACAAACGCAGCAUAGUUGGAAGUGGGAGUACAAUACGGUGGAGGGAUCAUUUUUUUGUGAAAAUGUGUUUCUAAAUUUGAAUUUCACAGUUUUAAAUAAAACCGAAUUUCCUUCUG